rnacentral:rRNA from 1 species
AUUGAACGCUGGCGGCAGGCUUAACACAUGCAAGUCGAGCGAGCGGCGGACGGGUGAGUAAUGUAUGGGGAUCUGCCUGAUGGAGGGGGAUAACUACUGGAAACGGUAGCUAAUACCGCAUACCAUCAGAUGUGCCCAGAUGGGAUUAGCUAGUAGGUGGGGUAACGGCUUACCUAGGCGACGAUCCCUAGCUGGUCUGAGAGGAUGACCAGCCACACUGGAACUGAGACACGGGCCAGACUCCUACGGGAGGCAGCAGUGGGGAAUAUUGCACAAUGGGCGCAAGCCUGAUGCAGCCAUGCCGCGUGUGUGAAGAAGGCCUUCGGGUUGUAAAGCACUUUCAGCCGGGAGGCGUUACUCACAGAAGAAGCACCGGCUAACUCCGUGCCAGCAGCCGCGGUAAUAC